GAGACGGGGCCAAGGGAGUCGCCAAGAGACCCGAGAUCGGGAUGGGCCAGCGCGCUCUCUGUUCCGGGACCGUGGACAGUGGAGGUUGACCGAGCAGAGCUCCAGAGAACACAGCUGGACUGCGAUACACCUCCCUCAGACCCCGUGACCUACCUAUCCCUUCAUUUAUUCAGGACCCUGAGGAAGGCUUUCGCUUUGGCUGCAUGAGCUCUCCUGAUGUUCCCAUCAGAUGAAGAUUUUGCCAGCUUUGUUUCUUCACUGUCUUACAGGAUUACUGAAAUCAAAGGGAAGGCUCUUGAAGAAAGAGAGGAAGUAUUAAUGUUUAGACCAAUACUUAUUCAGAAGGCCAAAAAUAUUGAUCAUGCUCAGUUUCCUUUCCAACUGACUGGUGCAUAUGAGAGUCUUUAAUGUUUUGAACAUCCGUGAAGAAAGAAAAAUGCUUCUCAAAUUACUGGUUGUGCAUAGCAAUUUUCUUCCCACCCAGUUUCACAACAUUUUAAAUAUAAUGAAGAACAGAACAUUGAAAAAUUUUAAAGUAUGGACAUUUUUUUGUGUGACUAGAUACACCAGACUCAAUAAAAACUUUUGAAUGU